ensembl:lncRNA LOC120095169 uncharacterized LOC120095169
CUUGUUGAAAACAUUUAUGUUUUUAAAUUACACGUAUAUUGGUGUAUGUGUGCUUUUGUACACACAUGUGUACAUGUUGCACAUAUGAGUGCAGGGGCCUGAAGGGGCCAGAAGGAGCUUUGGAUCCCCUGGAAGUGGAAUUACAGUUGGGAGCUGCCUGAUGAGCAGGGUUAUUUACUGGAGCAGAUGACUCAAAGGCAGGAACGUCUUCAAAAAGUUCACCCCAGCAUAAAUGAGGACUCAUGCAAUCUCUAUACUGGAGCUCUACAUGACUUAGAGGCAGCUGGACACUCCGGAGACUCUCCUCUCACCAGCUGGGAUGCUGAGAGUGACGAUGAACAGUCUGCUUUAGAACUGCUGCUUGCGGGCUGGAGAGAUGGCUCAGUGGUUAAGAGCACUGACUGCUCUUCCCGAGGUCCUGAGUUCAAAUCCCAGCAACCACAUGGUGGCUCACAACCAUCUGUAGUGGGAUCCAGUGCCCUCUUCUGAUGUGUCUGAAGACAGCGACAGUGUAUUCAUACAUAAAAUAAAU